rnacentral:rRNA from 1 species
CCUACGGGUGGCAGCAGUGGGGAAUAUUGCACAAUGGGCGAAAGCCUGAUGCAGCGACGCCGCGUGAGCGAGGAAGGCUUUCGGUUUGUAAGGCUCUAUCCGCAGGGAAGAAAAUGACGGUACUUGACUAGGAAGCCCCGGCUAACUACGUGCCAGCAGCCGCGGUAAUACGUAGGGGGCAAGCGUUAUCCGGAUUUACUGGGGGUAAAGGGGGCGUAGGUGGUUUAUUAAGUCAGAAGUGAAAAGCCAGGGCUCAACCUUUGGAAGGCUUUUGAAACUGGGUAGCUAGAGUGCAGGAGAGGAAAGCGGAAUUCCUAGUGUAGCGGUGAAAUGCGUAGAUAUUAGGAGGAACACCAGUGGCGAAGGCGGCUUACUGGACUGUAACUGACGCUGAGGCACGAAAGCGUGGGGAGCAAACAGGAUUAGAUACCCGUGUAGUC